rnacentral:lncRNA from 1 species
CCGACGGGGAGGUUCCGGUCGGCUCGCAGCGCCCUGCCGCGCGGUGCAGGGCGGCCACGGCACCCGGUCACCUUCUGCGUGGCGGUGGCGAUCGUCUCCUCCCUCCUUUCCUCUCUCCCGCCUCCUCACUGCUCCGCGCCGUGUGCGGACGGAGGAGCGCCGCUCUCCUUCCGGCCCGGCCCGGCCCGGCCCGACCCGGCCGCGAUGGCUGAGGCGUAGCGACCGCCGGCUCUUACCCCUUGGCGACGGAGCGCGGAGGGCGAUUUCUCGCGCCGUGCAGCUCGCGACUGGAUGGCCGGCGCUGUGAAUCCGCUCCGCCCCGCUCCGCUCCGCCGGCCGCGGCCCAGGUCUCCGCUUCGCGCCCAGUUCCUCUUAGCUGCUCCCGAGUCCGGCUGGCCUUUCCUGCAACCCAGAGCCCUGUGUUUGUCCCUCUGGUUUUCUCAGGAUUCCCAGAGGUCACCUGGCGCUGAGAGCCUGGGGGUUCCCAGCUGGGCAAGCCCAUCCCUUGGAGUGGCCAUGGGUGUUAGGAUGUGUCCUCUUUGCUGGAGCCUGUUGCUGCCUGGAGGUGAAGAUGGUAGUCUUCUGAAGGAGGACAACUUGAAGAGCAGUAGCUAG